UCACAGGGUGAGAUCUGGGUAAUGAUGGAGCGGAGCGGGUCACAGGGUGAGAUCUGGGUAAUGAUGGGGCGGAGCGGGUCACAGGCUGAGAUCGGGGUAAUGACAGGGCAGCCAGGAGCAGGUCACAGGCUGAGAUCGGGGUAAUGAUGGGGCGAAGCGGCCAGGAGCGGGUCACAGGCUGAGAUCGGGGUAAUGACAGGGCAGAGCAGGUCACAGGGUGAGAUCUGGGUAAUGAUGGGGCGGAGCAGGUCACAGGCUGAGAUCGGGGUAAUGACGGGGCGGAGCGGGUCACAGGGUGAGAUCUGGGUAAUGAUGGGGCGGAGCGGGUCACAGGCUGAGAUCGGGGUAAUGACAGGGCAGCCAGGAGCAGGUCACAGGCUGAGAUCGGGGUAAUGACGGGGCUAAGCGGCCAGGAGCGGGUCACAGGCUGAGAUCGGGGUAAUGACGGGGCGGAUCGGCCAGGAGCGGGUCACAGGGUGAGAUUGGGGUAAUGAUAGGGUGGCGCAGCCAGGAGCUGGUCACAGGUUGAGAUUUGGGUAAUGAUGGGGUGGCAUGGCCAGGAGUAGGUCACAGGGUGAGAUCGGGGUGGGGCAGCCAGGAGCAGGUCACAGGCUGAGAUCAGGGUAAUGAUGGGGUGGCGCAGCCAGGAGCGGGUCACAGGGUGAGAUUGGGGUAAUGAUGGGGUGGCGCAGCCAGGAGCGGGUCACAGGGUGAGAUUGGGGUAAUGAUAGGGUGGCGCAGCCAGGAGCGGGUCACAGGUUGAGAUUUGGGUAAUGAUGGGGUGGCACAGCCAGGAGCAGGUCACAGGGUGAGAUCGGGGUGGUGCAGCCAGGAGCAGGUCACAGGGUGAGAUUUGGGUAAUGAUGGGGUGGCGCAGCCAGGAGCGGGCCACAGGGUGAGAUUGGGGUAAUGAUGGGGUGGCACGGCCAGGAGCGGGUCACAGGGUGAGAUCGGGGUAAUGACGGUCAGGGCGGUGCGGCUGGGAGCUUCAUUUCUGCCUCAGUGACAUCAUCUAAUUCUAUGGCGGCUGCGAUAUUUAAAAGGCUCCUAAGGUCAGACGCCAUCAUUGUUAUUCCGCUCCAGGCACCGCGGUCACGCAGCCUACGGAUAUACAGCGCCAUGUCAUUGUCAUAACCCUUGUGAAAACUACAAUACUCACUCGAGUUACAACUGGGAAAGGAUCCCUUUAAAGGACUACCCUAACUGGUGCAGUACGCGGAGCCGUCAUAUAGAAAGUGAAAGCGGGCGCAGCACUCC